GGUUAAGCGACUAAGCGUACACGGUGGAUGCCCUGGCAGUCAGAGGCGAUGAAGGACGUGCUAAUCUGCGAUAAGCGUCGGUAAGGUGAUAUGAACCGUUAUAACCGGCGAUUUCCGAAUGGGGAAACCCAGUGUGAUUCGUCACACUAUCAUUAACUGAAUCCAUAGGUUAAUGAGGCGAACCGGGGGAACUGAAACAUCUAAGUACCCCGAGGAAAAGAAAUCAACCGAGAUUCCCCCAGUAGCGGCGAGCGAACGGGGAGCAGCCCAGAGCCUGAAUCAGUGUGUGUGUUAGUGGAAGCGUCUGGAAAGGCGCGCGAUACAGGGUGACAGCCCCGUACACAAAAAUGCACAUACUGUGAGCUCGAUGAGUAGGGCGGGACACGUGGUAUCCUGUCUGAAUAUGGGGGGACCAUCCUCCAAGGCUAAAUACUCCUGACUGACCGAUAGUGAACCAGUACCGUGAGGGAAAGGCGAAAAGAACCCCGGCGAGGGGAGUGAAAAAGAACCUGAAACCGUGUACGUACAAGCAGUGGGAGCACGCUUAGGCGUGUGACUGCGUACCUUUUGUAUAAUGGGUCAGCGACUUAUAUUCUGUAGCAAGGUUAACCGAAUAGGGGAGCCGAAGGGAAACCGAGUCUUAACUGGGCGUUAAGUUGCAGGGUAUAGACCCGAAACCCGGUGAUCUAGCCAUGGGCAGGUUGAAGGUUGGGUAACACUAACUGGAGGACCGAACCGACUAAUGUUGAAAAAUUAGCGGAUGACUUGUGGCUGGGGGUGAAAGGCCAAUCAAACCGGGAGAUAGCUGGUUCUCCCCGAAAGCUAUUUAGGUAGCGCCUCGUGAAUUCAUCUCCGGGGGUAGAGCACUGUUUCGGCAAGGGGGUCAUCCCGACUUACCAACCCGAUGCAAACUGCGAAUACCGGAGAAUGUUAUCACGGGAGACACACGGCGGGUGCUAACGUCCGUCGUGAAGAGGGAAACAACCCAGACCGCCAGCUAAGGUCCCAAAGUCAUGGUUAAGUGGGAAACGAUGUGGGAAGGCCCAGACAGCCAGGAUGUUGGCUUAGAAGCAGCCAUCAUUUAAAGAAAGCGUAAUAGCUCACUGGUCGAGUCGGCCUGCGCGGAAGAUGUAACGGGGCUAAACCAUGCACCGAAGCUGCGGCAGCGACGCUGAUGCGUUGUUGGGUAGGGGAGCGUUCUGUAAGCCUGCGAAGGUGUGCUGUGAGGCAUGCUGGAGGUAUCAGAAGUGCGAAUGCUGACAUAAGUAACGAUAAAGCGGGUGAAAAGCCCGCUCGCCGGAAGACCAAGGGUUCCUGUCCAACGUUAAUCGGGGCAGGGUGAGUCGACCCCUAAGGCGAGGCCGAAAGGCGUAGUCGAUGGGAAACAGGUUAAUAUUCCUGUACUUGGUGUUACUGCGAAGGGGGGACGGAGAAGGCUAUGUUGGCCGGGCGACGGUUGUCCCGGUUUAAGCGUGUAGGCUGGUUUUCCAGGCAAAUCCGGAAAAUCAAGGCUGAGGCGUGAUGACGAGGCACUACGGUGCUGAAGCAACAAAUGCCCUGCUUCCAGGAAAAGCCUCUAAGCAUCAGGUAACAUCAAAUCGUACCCCAAACCGACACAGGUGGUCAGGUAGAGAAUACCAAGGCGCUUGAGAGAACUCGGGUGAAGGAACUAGGCAAAAUGGUGCCGUAACUUCGGGAGAAGGCACGCUGAUAUGUAGGUGAAGUCCCUCGCGGAUGGAGCUGAAAUCAGUCGAAGAUACCAGCUGGCUGCAACUGUUUAUUAAAAACACAGCACUGUGCAAACACGAAAGUGGACGUAUACGGUGUGACGCCUGCCCGGUGCCGGAAGGUUAAUUGAUGGGGUCAGCGCAAGCGAAGCUCUUGAUCGAAGCCCCGGUAAACGGCGGCCGUAACUAUAACGGUCCUAAGGUAGCGAAAUUCCUUGUCGGGUAAGUUCCGACCUGCACGAAUGGCGUAAUGAUGGCCAGGCUGUCUCCACCCGAGACUCAGUGAAAUUGAACUCGCUGUGAAGAUGCAGUGUACCCGCGGCAAGACGGAAAGACCCCGUGAACCUUUACUAUAGCUUGACACUGAACAUUGAGCCUUGAUGUGUAGGAUAGGUGGGAGGCUUUGAAGUGUGGACGCCAGUCUGCAUGGAGCCGGCCUUGAAAUACCACCCUUUAAUGUUUGAUGUUCUAACGUUGACCCGUAAUCCGGGUUGCGGACAGUGUCUGGUGGGUAGUUUGACUGGGGCGGUCUCCUCCUAAAGAGUAACGGAGGAGCACGAAGGUUGGCUAAUCCUGGUCGGACAUCAGGAGGUUAGUGCAAUGGCAUAAGCCAGCUUGACUGCGAGCGUGACGGCGCGAGCAGGUGCGAAAGCAGGUCAUAGUGAUCCGGUGGUUCUGAAUGGAAGGGCCAUCGCUCAACGGAUAAAAGGUACUCCGGGGAUAACAGGCUGAUACCGCCCAAGAGUUCAUAUCGACGGCGGUGUUUGGCACCUCGAUGUCGGCUCAUCACAUCCUGGGGCUGAAGUAGGUCCCAAGGGUAUGGCUGUUCGCCAUUUAAAGUGGUACGCGAGCUGGGUUUAGAACGUCGUGAGACAGUUCGGUCCCUAUCUGCCGUGGGCGCUGGAGAACUGAGGGGGGCUGCUCCUAGUACGAGAGGACCGGAGUGGACGCAUCACUGGUGUUCGGGUUGUCAUGCCAAUGGCACUGCCCGGUAGCUAAAUGCGGAAGAGAUAAGUGCUGAAAGCAUCUAAGCACGAAACUUGCCCCGAGAUGAGUUCUCCCUGACUCCUUGAGAGUCCUGAAGGAACGUUGAAGACGACGACGUUGAUAGGCCGGGUGUGUAAGCGCAGCGAUGCGUUGAGCUAACCGGUACUAAUGAACCGUGAGGCUUAACCUU
rnacentral:rRNA from 1 species